rnacentral:rRNA from 1 species
CCCUUAGAUGUUCUGGGCCGCACGCGCGCUACACUGAUGCAUUCAACGAGCCUAUCCUUGACCGACAGGUCCGGGUAAUCUUUGAAUCUGCAUCGUGACGGGGAUAGAUUAUUGCAAUUAUUAAUCUUCAACGAGGAAUGCCUAGUAGGCGCAAGUCAUCAGCUUGCGUCGAUUACGUCCCUGCCCUUUGUACACACCGCCCGUCGCACCUACCGAUUGAAUGGUCCGGUGAAAUCUUAGGACUGCGACUUUGUCUCGUUCAUUCAAGACGCUGUCGCGGGAAUUUGAUUAAACCUUACCAUUUAGAGGAAGGUGAAGUCGUAACA